AGGACUCUGAAGUUCAUGCAGCUCUGUGUAAUGAGCUCUGCACUGGGAGGACAGAGAAAAUACAGCUUGAUGGCUGAUGAAUGUUUGAGUCUUUCUCCUUAUGAGCAGGACUGUGAUUUUCCUGUACUGAGAGAACUCUGCCAUACCUGCUGAGGGGAACCAAUAAAUCCAGAGGUGCAGCAUACUCAGCCUCUCCAUCUCAUCUCUUUGGAGGACCGUUGAAAGAAAGUAUUAGAUGGAUUCUAAUGCUUUGGGAUAUAGCAUAAGUGAAUCUCAUAAAUAAUCAACUGAUGAUACAAAUUUCCAUCAAAGAUGGAUAUUGUCACCAAAACUCCAGGUGCAUCCUCACCAAUGCAGAGAAGAAUGGAAUUGUCACCUCCCUUGGACCUUCUGGCAAAGCUGACAUCUUUCAUAAGGACA